rnacentral:lncRNA from 1 species
UACAGUCGCAUGCAAUAAUGCAAUAAUAACAAACAGUAACUACCAUAUUAACAACCAUAUGGAGACAUAAGCUAAAACACUAAUCACCUAUGGGUAACUCUACUAUCCCACACCCAACCCCGAGAGAUGCGAACGAAGGACUCUAGGAGCCCCUAGCCUACAAUCAUGAUUCUAGACCUCCAAACGCCCCUAUCAAGGGUCAUGCCCUCGGUAAACAUGAUACAAUGAGCUCUAUAUAUAUAUACACAUAACCUAUCCUACUCCUAAUACACAUUGGAUUAGGGUUCUACUAUU